UAGAGUGUGGUGUAGUUUAUUGCACGGAGAAUUUUGAGUUCUCAGGGAUAGGUUCCAGACCUAGGGCUCCAG